UACGGAAGGCAGCAGUGGGGAAUAUUGCACAAUGGGCGCAAGCCUGAUGCAGCCAUGCCGCGUGUAUGAAAAAGGCCUUCGGGUUGUAAAGUACUUUCAGUCGUGAGGAAGGUGUUAAGGUUAAUAACCUUAGCAAUUGACGUUAGCGACAGAAGAAGCACCGGCUAACUCCGUGCCAGCAGCCGCGGUAAUACGGAGGGUGCGAGCGUUAAUCGGAAUUACUGGGCGUAAAGGGCACGCAGGCGGUUAAUUAAGUUGGAUGUGAAAUCCCCGGGCUUAACCUGGGAAUGGCAUUCAAGCUGGUUAGCUAGAGUCUUGUAGAGGGGGUAGAAUUCCAUGUGUAGCGGUGAAAUGCGUAGAGAUGUGGAGGAAUACCGGUGGCGAAGGCGGCCCCUGGGACAAAGACUGACGCUCAUGUGCGAAAGCGUGGGGAGCAAAC
rnacentral:rRNA from 1 species